GAAAUGCGAUAAGUAGUGUGAAUUGCAGAAUUCAGUGAAUCAUCGAAUCUUUGAACGCACAUUGCGCCCCUUGGUAUUCCAUGGGGCAUGCCUGUUCGAGCGUCAUUUGUACCCUCAAGCUCUGCUUGGUGUUGGGUGUUUGUCCCGCUCUACGCGUGGACUCACCUUAAAGCAAUUGGCAGCCGGCAAUCUGGUUAUAGAGCGCAGCACAUUUUGCGCUUCUUGCCAUGGAUGUCGGCGUCCAUCAAGUACAUUUUUUUGCUCUUGACCUCGGAUCAGGUAGGGAUACCCGCUGAACUUAA
rnacentral:misc_RNA from 1 species